rnacentral:rRNA from 1 species
AACAGCUCAAAUUUGAAAUCUGGCCUCGGCCCGAGUUGUAAUUUGCAGAGGAUGUUUCUGGCGCGGUGCCUUCCGAGUUCCCUGGAACGGGACGCCACAGAGGGUGAGAGCCCCGUAUGGUUGGACACUAAGCCUGUGUGAAACUCCUUCGACGAGUCGAGUAGUUUGGGAAUGCUGCUCAAAAUGGGAGGUAAAUCUCUUCUAAAGCUAAAUACCGGCCAGAGACCGAUAGCGCACAAGUAGAGUGAUCGAAAGAUGAAAAGCACCUUGAAAAGGGGGUUAAACAGUACGUGAAAUUGUUGAAAGGGAAGCGCUUGUGACCAGACUUGCGCCGGGCGGUUCAUCCGGGGUUCUCCCCGGUGCACUCCGCCCGGUUCAGGCCAGCAUCGGUUCUCGUUGGGGGAUAAGAACGAUAGGAACGUGGCCCUCCUUCGGGUGGGUGUUAUAGCCUGUCGUACGAUACCCUGACGGGGACCGAGGUUCGCGCUCCGCAAGGAUGCUGGCGUAAUGGUCAUCAGCGACCCGUCUUGAAACACGGACCAAGGAGUCGUCCAUUAGAGCGAGCGUUUGGGUGUAAAACCCGCACGCGUAAUGAAAGUGAAAUUAGGUGAGAGCUUCGGCGCAUCAUCGACCGAUCCUGAUGUUCUCGGAUGGAUUUGAGUAAGAGUUUUAACGGACGGACCCGAAAGACAGUGAACUAUGCUUGUAUAGGGUGAAGCCAGAGGAAACUCUGGUGGAGGCUCGCAGCGGUUCUGACGUGCAAAUCGAUCGUCAAAUAUGAGCAUGGGGGCGAAAGACUAAUCGAACUG